rnacentral:misc_RNA from 1 species
CAGAGAGAGAGAGAAUCUAAGGUGUUGUGUGGUGCCAGCUAUGAAGUUGAAGGAUCAAAGCUUGCUCUGAGGUCAAAGCUGGCAAUUUUAUUUAUUUAUAUUUCUGGGCUUUGUUUUCUCUCUCCACAGCCUUCCCUAUUUACGCUAGAAAUCUAUACAGAUUUUAAAUCAACAUUCAACUCCAACCUCCACUUCCCUCUCCAUUUUCCCUCUCCAUCUCAUUUUCCCUAUAUAUUUUUUCUUCCCCUUCUUCUUUUGUUACAGAGGCCAGAAAUGCGUGUCUUUGAGAUAGACACAGAGAGAGAGAGGAGUUAAUGGUUGAUUCUUCUUCUGCCGCUAGAAAAAUAGCAACCAUGGCUACUUCUCCAUGCCCUAGUGGGAAUGAAAAGAAACACUGGUGGCUUAGCAACCGAAGGGUAUUGAUCCUUUACUCCUUUCAUCUCUGAUUCAAUCUGCUUUAAUGGUUUUGGCAUUCUUGGCUUGAUCUCUCUAUUGGGCAUUGCUUAUUUUAGUUUCCCUUUGCAUGUACGUACAUAGACGUUAAUAAUACUUUCUGCAUUGAUUUCUAUAGAUUGUAUAUAAGCAUAUUAAGGAAGCUAGAAACCUCAUUGCAACCCAAGAACCGAGUGAUAUUACUUCUGCUUUGAACCUUCUAGACGCGGCUCUGGCUCUCUCUCCUCGCUUUGAAGUCGCUCUUGAACUGAAGGCUAGAUCUUUGCUCUACCUCAGGCGAUUCAAGGACGUGGCUGAUAUGCUUCAAGAUUACAUUCCCAGCCUUAAAAUAGGAAAUGACGAGUCGGGUUCGGUAUCUUCUGAAAACUCGUCGCAGCAGCUAUCGAGGGAGCGAGUCAAGCUGUUGCCUUCUAAUGACUCGUCCUCGGAAACAGCAGAAAGGGAUCCGAGUUUCAAGUGUUUUUCUGUCUCGGACUUGAAGAAGAAGGUGAUGGCGGGGCUUUGUAAAACUUGCCACAAGGAAGGGCAAUGGAGGUAUUUGGUUUUGGGGCAAGCUUGUUGCCAUCUGGGCCUGAUGGAGGACGCCAUGGUCCUCCUUCAAACCGGAAAACGCCUCUCAACUGCCGCAUUCCGCCGUGAAAGCAUUUCUUGGUCCGACGAUAGCUUUUCCAUUUCCAACUUCCCAAUCUCAGGCGACGUUAGCUCCUCAUCAGCCCCCCCAACUCCCCCGCGAGCUUUGACCGAAUCUGAGAGCAUCUCCCAACUCUUAUCGCACAUCAAACUUCUCCUACGGCGCCGUGCCGCAGCGAUUGCCGCCCUCGACGCAGGAUUAUAUUCUGAAGCCAUCCGCCACUUUACCAAGAUUGUAGAAGGCCGCCGCGGGGCCCCACAAGGAUUCCUGGCGGAAUGUUACAUGCACAGAGCCUUUGCAUAUAAGUCUUCGGGUAGAAUUGCAGAGUCUAUUGGUGAUUGCAACAAGACCUUAGCUCUUGCCCCUAUGUGCAUUCAGGCACUUGAGACUAGAGCCUCGCUCUUCGAAACUAUCCGCUGCUUGCCUGAUUGUUUACACGAUCUUGAGCACUUGAAACUCUUAUACAAUUCAAUCUUGCGGGAUAGGAAGCUCCCGGGUCCUGCAUGGAAGCGGCAUAACGUGAGAUACAGGGAGAUUCCAGGGAAACUCUGUGCAUUGACCACCAAGAUUCAGGAAUUGAAGAGGAGGGUUGCUUCCGGGGAGACUGGAAACGUUGAUUACUAUGCUUUGAUCGGUCUGAGACGUGGGUGUUCAAGAUCUGAGUUAGAGAGAGCUCAUUUGUUGCUCUGUUUAAGGCACAAGCCCGAUAAGGCUACAAAUUUUAUCGAGAGAUGCGAGUUUGCAGAUGAUAGGGAUCUUGACUCAGUUAAAGAUCGAGCGAAAAUGUCUGCAUUAUUGCUUUAUAGAUUGCUUCAAAAGGGUUACUCAAGUGUCAUGGCUACAAUUAUGGAUGAGGAGGCCGCAGAGAAGCAAAGGAAGAAAGCGGCAGCUGCUUUACAAGCGGCUGCAGCAGUUCAAGUGCAGCAAACAGCCCAGAGCAGGAAACCUGAAUCAAAUCUAUCUAAAGUGGAGAAAUCGUGUCCUAAUAGAAUUAAGUCCACUGAAAAUAAAGUGGCAACAUCUUCAGGGACCUCCAAUCCAUCUGUUUUUCAAGGGGUAUUUUGCAGGGACCUCGCUGCAGUUGGGAAUUUACUAUCUCAAGUUGGAUUUAACCGUGCACUUCCACUGAAGUACGAGGCGUUGAGCUGCUAAGUAAACAUCAAUCAAGUCUUGGAGAUGUCACCGGCGGUAGAAUCACUGGUUCAUUUUGUACAAAAGUAUUAAAGUAUAUAAUUUAGACUGCCGGAAAAUUUUGUCGCCCUUGUCAUUUUGUUCUUUUAAUUCCAUCAUCUACUACCUGUACAGAAUUUUCAAAUUUUCAGUACCGAGACCCAGUUUCUAUUUUUUUCCAAUUUACUUGGCUAAAACUUGGAGUUUUAUGCUACGUUAUCUUUAUUUUUUACUUUCCCAUUCAGUUCAUAUAAAUGUUAUAUGUGAUAUUAAUGGUUGGUGUUUGCAAAAGAUUGGUACUUCGGGUACUCUCUAUUACAGCAGUUGUGCACAGGCAAGGUGAUACAGAAGCUGGUUUUGUCUUCUCUCUAGUGUCGCUUCUACUUUUUUUCCUGCUUAGUUUAUCCAUGAACUGACAUAUCUGACAUUCCACU